GAUGAACGCUGGCGGCGUGCCUAAUACAUGCAAGUCGAGCGAACGGACGAGAAGCUUGCUUCUCUGAUGUUAGCGGCGGACGGGUGAGUAACACGUGGAUAACCUACCUAUAAGACUGGGAUAACUUCGGGAAACCGGAGCUAAUACCGGAUGAUAUUUUGAACCGCAUGGUUCAAAAGUGAAAGACGGUCUUGCUGUCACUUAUAGAUGGAUCCGGGCUGCAUGAGCUAGUUGGUAAGGUAACGGCUUACCAAGGCAACGAUGCAUAGCCGACGUGAGAGGGUGAUCGGCCACACUGGAGCUGAGACACGGUCCAGACUCCUACGGGAGGCAGCAGUAGGGAAUCGUCCGCAAUGGGCGAAAGCCUGACGGAGCAACGCCGCGUGAGUGAUGAAGGUCUUCGGAUCGUAAAACUCUGUUAUUAGGGAAGAACAUAUGUGUAAGUAACUGUGCACAUCUUGACGGUACCUAAUCAGAAAGCCACGGCUAACUACGUG
rnacentral:rRNA from 1 species